GAGAUAGCUGGUUCUCCCCGAAAUAGCUUUAGGGCUAGCGUCGGAAAGAACCUUAGUGAAGGUAGAGCACUGAAUGUGUGAUGGCCCCAUCCCGGGGUACUGAAUACAAUCAAACUGCGAAUGUCAUUAAGGAUGUCCGGCAGUCAGACUGUGAGUGAUAAGGUCCAUGGUCAAGAGGGAAACAGCCCAGACCGCCAGUUAAGGUCCCAAAAUACAGGCUAAGUGGAAAAGGAUGUGGGGAUGCCCAGACAACUAGGAGGUUGGCUCAGAAGCAGCCAUCCUUUAAAGAGUGCGUAACAGCUCACUAGUCGAGUGACCCUGCGCCGAAAAUGUACCGGGGCUAAGCCUGAUACCGAAACUGCGGAUUGUAGGAAACUAUAGUGGUAGGGGAGCGUUGUAUACGAGCAGAAGCCGUACCGUGAGGAGCGGUGGAUUGUAUAGAAGUGAGAAUGCCGGUGUGAGUAGCGAGAUGUAGGUGAGAAUCCUACACACCGAAAGCCCAAGGAUUCCAGGGGAAGGUUCGUCCGCCCUGGGUAAGUCGGGACCUAACGCGAGGCCGAAAGGCGUAGUGGAUGGAAAGCAGGCGAAAGAUUCCUGCACCCGUAUAUGGAGCGAAGGAGUGACGGAGACGGAUAGUGUGACCCUCUUAAUGGAUUGAGGGCGAAGCGAAGCGGCUGGUUACCAGGCAAAUCCGGUAACCAUAAGGCUAGAGCGUGACAGGUAAGCGAAAUCUUAGGAAAGUAGCGAAGCACAUGAUGACGGCUUCCAGGAAAAGCUUCUGGCAAUGCAUAUGCGGCCCGUACCAAAACCGACACAGGUGGGCAGGGAGAGAAUCCCGAGGUGAGCGAGAGAACUGUUGCCAAGGAACUCGGCAAAAUGACUCCGUAAGUUAGCGAGAAGGAGUGCUUAAGCAAUUAAGCCGCAGUGAAGAGGCCCAAGCGACUGUUUAACUAAAACACAGCUCUCUGCGAAGUCGCAAGACGAAGUAUAGGGGGUGACACCUGCCCGGUGCUGGAAGGUUAAGAGGAUCUGUUAAGAGCGAUCUGAAGCAGUGAUCCGAAGCCCCAGUGAACGGCGGCCGUAACUAUAACGGUCCUAAGGUAGCGAAAUUCCUUGUCAGGUAAGUUCUGACCCGCACGAAAGGUGUAACGAUUUGGGCGCUGUCUCGGCAGCAGACUCGGUGAAAUCUUAGUACCUGUGAAAAUGCAGGUUACCCGCAACUAGACGGAAAGACCCCAUGGAGCUUUACUGCAGCCUGAUAUUGAAUUCUGGUCAUACAUGUACAGGAUAGGUGGGAGACAAAGAGACGUGCACGCCAGUGUACGAGGAGUCGACGUUGGGAUACCACUCUUGUGUGACCGGGGUUCUAACCUGGUAUCGAGAACAGGUACGGGGAGAGUGUCAGGUGGGCAGUUUGACUGGGGCGGUCGCCUCCCAAAGAGUAACGGAGGCGCCCAAAGGUACGCUCAGAUUGGAUGGAAACCAAUCGUCGAGUGCAAUUGCAGAAGCGUGCUUGACUGUGAGACAGACAAGUCGAACAGGGACGAAAGUCGGGAAUAGUGAUCCGGCGGUGCCGAAUGGAAGGGCCGUCGCUCAACGGAUAAAAGCUACCCUGGGGAUAACAGGC
rnacentral:rRNA from 1 species